CCUUUCAAAAGCACUCAAAGGGCCUUUUACUAAUGGCCCACUGAGCCAUCGAGAAAGUCACUUUUGGGUGAAGUGGCAGCAUGUUGUUUUGCUUCAAUAGGUGAUGUGACAAGG
rnacentral:snoRNA from 1 species